rnacentral:rRNA from 1 species
AUUGAACGCUGGCGGCAGGCCUAACACAUGCAAGUCGAGCGGAGCGGCGGACGGGUGCGUAAUGCCUAGGCAUCUGCCUGGUAGUGGGGGAUCACGUCCGGAAACGGGCGCUCAUACCGCAUACUAUCAUAUGAGCCUAGGUCGGAUUAGCUAGUUGGUGGGGUAAGGGCCUACCAAGGCGACGCUCCGUAACUGUUCUGAGAGGAUGAUCAGUCACACAGGAACUGAGACACGGUACAGACUCCUACGGGAGGCAGAAGUGGGGAAUAUAGGACAAUGGGCGAAAGCCUAAUCCAGCCAUGCCGCGUGUGAGAAGAAAGUCUUCGGAUUGUAAAGCACUUGAAGUUGGGAGGCGUUACCAACAGAAUAAGCACCGGCUAACUUCGUGCCAGCAGCCGCGGUAAUUC